rnacentral:rRNA from 1 species
UACGUAGGGGGCAAGCGUUGUCCGGAUUUAUUGGGCGUAAAGAGCGUGUAGGCGGCCAGGUAGGUCUGCUGUGAAAACUCGAGGCUUAACCUCGAGAUGUCGGCGGAAACCAUCUGGCUAGAGUCCGGAAGAGGAGAAUGGAAUUCCCGGUGUAGCGGUGAAAUGCGCAGAUAUCGGGAAGAACACCCGUGGUGAAGGCGGUUCUCUGGGACGGUACUGACGCUGAGACGCGAAAGCGUGGGGAGCGAACAGG